rnacentral:rRNA from 1 species
GACGAACCGUACAAACGUUAUUCGGAAUCACUGGGCUUAAAGGGUGCGUAGGCGGCGCUGAAAGUAGGGUGUGAAAUCCCUCGGCUCAACCGAGGAACUGCGCUCUAAACUACAGUGCUCGAGGGAGACAGAGGUGAGCGGAACUUAGGGUGGAGCGGUGAAAUGCGUUGAUAUCCUAAGGAACACCGGUGGCGAAAGCGGCGUACUGGGUCUUAUCUGACGCUGAGGUGCGAGAGCGUGGGGAGCGAACCGG